AGCACUAAGGUCUGCAGAAGAUGCUGAGCUGGCAGGAACUCCAUUUUGUGUCCCUAUACAGGUGAAGCCUAUGCAUGAUAUCAAAGCCAUCAAGAUGCUUUGGAAGAUGGGGAGGAUGAGGAGCAGAACUGAACUAUUUUUUUGCUGUACUUGCUGACUUCAUUUUUAGAAUCAGAAAGAUUUUGGUUGGAAGGAUCUUUGGGAGGUCUUCUGAGCAUAGCCAGCUCCCAAGCUGCUCAGGCUGAGUUUUGAUAAUCUUCCUAAUUUCCAAGAUGGAGAUGCCACAUAAUCUUUGUUGUCUCCCUGCCUUCCUUCCCUCCUUGUUUAAUUUCCAAGCUGUUUGCUAUAAACUGAGGUUAGGGGUAGUCUAAUCAAUCCGUUCUAGUAGAGUUAAGUAGGGCAGAACCAAGAUUCAAGAUUAAACAAACUACUCCCUCUCCCCACGUCCAAGAUAUUGGGUCCCUGUGCAAGGGUUGUUCUGCGUUUUAGUUCAAAAUGGUUUUGCUGGGCUGUUUUGGGUCUGUGAUUGCAUGCUAGGCUGUAGUUGGGAAUGUGCCAGCUCAUGCCUCUCAGCAUGGAAGAGCUCUCA